rnacentral:rRNA from 1 species
UUGAAAGGGGAAACGAUUGAAGUCAGUCAUGCUAGUGAAAAAUCAGUUUGACGGGUUUUGAGUUCUGGAGUAGAGGCAGGGUCAAACCGUUUCUCUUUCGGACUUGAGAUUUGGCAGAUGUACUUUUUCUUUGGCAGGUCAACGUCGGUUUCGGGGGUUGUAAAAUACUUGGGGGAAAGUAGCUCUGCUUCGGGAGAGUGUUAUAGACCCUGGGAGAUGCAGCCUGUGGGAUCGAGGAUUGCAGCAAAUGCCUUUGGCUUGUCGCCUGAUCCUGGGUGUUACCUCUCUUGUGACAACAUUCUUGCCACCGGAGGGUACUAAUGUCCNCGUAGANCA